AUCUACAGUAUACUUCAUAUCAUAGCAGAGUUGUUGGUGGUGGAUUAUUAGAUUUCUUACUUGCCCUCCACUGUCAGGUUCCAGGGCAGCUUGUGAAUUAAAAUACAAUAUUAAAAAUAGUUAAAACAAAUUACAAUCCAAGAAAACAGGGUGGGUGCUAAAAUACAUCUCCUAGAUGACAAAGGCCAGGGUAAAGAGAGGCUCUUAUUAGUUACUUGUGUGCAAACAUAAUUUGUUGAAGAAAAUAUUCAGUAAGGCUGUGCUGCAGAUUCACCUGGAUCCUCCACCAAGUUGUGCCAAUUUAUACCCUGUUCUGAUCAGGAAGAAGCAACGACAAAUCACAACUUUGUCACAAGUUAAUCAGGCACUUCUGACCUGGCUGUAAUUUUAAACAUGGUACGGUAUGCAACGUGUGCGUCAAAAUUUCAGACAGAUAGUUUGAAAAUAUUUUGGCAUCUUCACAGUAAAGUUUAUUUUAAAAAAAGAGGUAAAAUAGAUUACGGAUUGAUCAUUUAUAUGUAAUUUUUAAAUGAAAAAAUGUGUAUGUAAAUUUACACUUUAUACUAUCCACCCCCUUAUACAUCAUUUUCUAGUUUGUAAUAGGUCUUUGUAAUGGUCACAGGGCAGACAAUACCAUUAGUUGCUAUCACAGGGCUCAUCCACAAGUCCGCUUUUCCUGUGAUUUCUAGGCUCGGGUCCGAGAGGCUUUUCUUUUGUCCCUCCGCUUUUCCUGGGGAAACCUGCUGCUUAUCACUGUAUAGGGAGAAACAUAAAUCAGCAGAAAACCUGAUAAAUGUUUGCUUCUAUUCAGCUGUAAAUCCACAGAAAACCCGACUGACCUUUGUUCUGAGUCAGUGGUAAACAGAGGGGACUUUCGUGGGGAAAAUGGGGGGAAUGAAAGACAAACCUGUCAUGGACGAGCCCUUGGUAUCUUCCUGCUGUUCCCACUUUUCUCCUUCAUUCUGACGACUGAAUUAAGAAAGACUUGAAAUGACCUGAUGAGCACAAUGAACCUCACUUUCUUCUUCCUAGAUGUAAUGAAAAUAAGAAUAAAACCAUCAAUGCAAUAGCAUUUCCUCGUGGAUUAAAACAGCAAAUAGAUUAUUUCUCCAAAAUACAUCCUUUUUUGGAGAAGGAGACCAAGAAAUUCAAAGACGUUGUGCUCUCUGGACCUCAAGGAAAGAAAGGUGAAGACAUGGCCAUUCCUAAACUAGUCCUAGAAGCGUAUGGCCAAGCACCAACCCGAGACAUAUAUAUGAAGCCACCAUUGUUUGCCUUCGGAUUCUCAACAAGCAAUCAUUUGUUGACCCCAUUGAACCAAUCAUUCGUUGACCCCGUAUUCUCAAAUAAGAACAUUAAUUGUUGUUCCUAUGUUAUGGGAGUUGAGAGAAUCACCUCAGGGAUCCAUUCCUGGAUAGUGGACGUGGGGGACGAGAACUUCUGGGCUGUGGGGGUUGUCAAGGAGUCUUUAAGGGGUCACAAUAUUGUCAAUUUGAAUGAUGGGAUUGGGAUCUGGGCUAUUGGGAGGAUUUCUCCUGGUGCAUAUUAUGCUUCCACUUCUCCUGGAAUAUCUCUGGGACCAUCACCCUCGGCCAGCACACAACACCUUACCUUUGGGUUUUGGCCAAAGAGAAUCCGUGUGCUUGUGAACUAUGAAGCAGAAGUAAUACUCUUCCGUGAUGCUGACUCAAAUAAUGAUCUCUUUACCUUCUUCCGUGCUUUGUUCUCUGGGGAGAAAAUCUGCUCCUUUGUCUGCGUGGGGAAAUGAGAUGAGGUUGCCAUUUGGUGCAAACUUGACAGGCCAGCAGGAGGUGCCAAGUCCUUUAAAACCAGGGGUGGGUGGGGAAGUUUAAAAAACAGUGUGGGGGGUCAGGAGAAAGGAACUGAAUCCUCUCCCCACCCAUACUUUCCUUCCUCAAAGGUCUGGGGAAAGAACUUUUUUGGGGGGUGGGUAUGUGUGGUGUGGAAAGGGCUCAGGAUAUUA